rnacentral:rRNA from 1 species
GACGAACGCUGGCGGCGUGCUUAACACAUGCAAGUCGAACGGAAAGGCCCUGCUUUUGUGGGGUGCUCGAGUGGCGAACGGGUGAGUAACACGUGAGUAACCUGCCCUUGACUUUGGGAUAACUUCAGGAAACUGGUGCUAAUACCGGAUAGGAGCUCCUGCUGCAUGGUGGGGGUUGGAAAGUUUCGGCGGUUGGGGACGGACUCGCGGCUUAUCAGCUUGUUGGUGGGGUAGUGGCUUACCAAGGCUUUGACGGGUAGCCGGCCUGAGAGGGUGACCGGCCACAUUGGGACUGAGAUACGGCCCAGACUCCUACGGGAGGCAGCAGUGGGGAAUAUUGCACAAUGGGCGGAAGCAUGAUGCAGCAACGCCGCGUGCGGGAUGACGGCCUUCGGGUUGUAAACCGCUUUCGACUGUGACGAAGCGUGAGUGACGGUAAUGGGUAAAGAAGCACCGGCUAACUACGUG